rnacentral:rRNA from 1 species
GACGAACGCUGGCGGCGUGCUUAACACAUGCAAGUCGGACGGAAAGGCCCUGCUUUUGUGGGGUGCUCGAGUGGCGAACGGGUGAGUAACACGUGAGUAACCUGCCCUUGACUUUGGGAUAACUUCAGGAAACUGGGGCUAAUACCGGAUAGGAGCUCCUGCUGCAUGGUGGGGGUUGGAAAGUUUCGGCGGUUGGGGAUGGACUCGCGGCUUAUCAGCUUGUUGGUGGGGUAGUGGCUUACCAAGGCUUUGACGGGUAGCCGGCCUGAGAGGGUGACCGGCCACAUUGGGAAUGAGAUACGGCCCAGACUCCUACGGGAGGCAGCAGUGGGGAAUAUUGCACAAUGGGCGGAAGCCUGAUGCAGCAACGCCGCGUGCGGGAUGACGGCCUUCGGGUUGUAAACCGCUUUCGCCUGUGACGAAGCGUGAGUGACGGUAAUGGGUAAAGAAGCACCGGCUAACUACGUG